ACUUGCAGCCACGCUGAGCAGCUCGCCCCAGCUCCUCUCCCCAAUGCCAUAGAGUCUUUGCGUGUCCUGCUACCUAGACCUAGAGCACCCUUCCCAUUCUGCUUACUGCUGCCUUCUCAUCCUUCAGACUCCACUUGGUGACAGCCUCCAAGAGGCUUUCUCUGGCCCUCAGGCCACGUCUGAGGUCCCCUAGGCUUUCCCUAUCGUGGCAGCCCUUUUGCAGAUCUGUCCCUCCUACCGCAGACUGGGGGGAACUGGAGGCGAGUCUCAUCUGUUGAGGUCUUCCCCAGUGUCCAGAGCAGGACCCAGCCCCAGGGGAGUGGAGUGCACGCCUGAUUAGGGAGACAUCAGGGUGCAUCAUCUUGGGCUGUGGUUCAUGAUCAGACAGCAUUGGGUCAGGACCACCCCUCGCUCAGCAUGGCCCAUGGGAGGAGUUUCUGGAUGGAGCAACUAGGGCUGAAUUUUUGCUUGACCACAAGCCUCGGGCAGAACAGAUUCGCCUAUGACUGAAUCGACUGAAUGGAUGGCCAGCGACAGCCUGGCCUGGGAAUGGACUGGCAGCUCAUCACUAAAAUGACUCCUUUCAUGGAAUCCACUGUUAUGCAGCCACACUGACCACAGAGCAACUGAAUAGGUGAGCAUUGGAUUGUUGAUGACAACUCUUCAGCAGAACAAUUGUGUGUUUGAAGGGACUGUUUUAUGAUGAAAUAACUGUUAUUUCCUGGAGCUAAUUGUUGAAUGACAGUUUGUCAACUGUUUAAAUGAAUUUCAUUUGAAUUAACAAUUAUACAGCCACUCAGAGGUCCUACAUUCGCCAGAGUUGGCAUCCAGUUGAUGGGUUCAUUUGAAUUAAAUGGUUUGGAGGCUAACGUGAUUUUUUAAAUUGAAUUUCAUCACUAUUCUGUGUAUUCUAUUUAUCACUAUUCUAAAUGACUCAUGGUUGGCUAAUUGAUUAUCAUGUAAGCAAGCUAUUUGAAGAAAUUGAUUACAUAUAUUUAUAUAUAGGGGGUAACUAAUUAAUGAUUACUUGAUUAAAUUGCUAUGUGAACUGACAACUAUUUAUAAAUCAAUGCAAUA
rnacentral:lncRNA from 1 species